UACGUAGGGGGCAAGCGUUGUCCGGAAUCAUUGGGCGUAAAGAGCGUGUAGGUGGCCCGGUAAGUCCGCUGUGAAAGUCCAGGGCUCAACCCUGGGAUGCCGGUGGAUACUGUCGGGCUCGAGUCCGGAAGAGGCGAGUGGAAUUCCUGGUGUAGCGGUGAAAUGCGCAGAUAUCAGGAGGAACACCAAUGGCGAAGGCAGCUCGCUGGGACGUGACUGACGCUGAGACGCGAAAGCGUGGGGAGCAAACAGG
rnacentral:rRNA from 1 species